rnacentral:lncRNA from 1 species
CCUCACUUAACAAAUGACUUAAUAACCUCAGAGAUCCAGUAUAUUUUUACCAAUUCACUGCUAUUACUUGUGAAAAGCUUAAGCACAAACUGGCUGACACAAUAAGCUUAAGAUGUUAAGCUAAAAGGAAAAAAAAAAAAAGCAAAAGCAUGUGCAGAAGUGUCUGCAGCAACGUGAGCCAUAGUCUACACACACGGUACUCACACGUCGGUACAGGAGCUGCUCCCAGGGGCAGUGUACACAGCGCUCCUGAGGGGACUCCAUGGCCCAAGCCACCCAACAGCCACACUUGUUUGUGCUGCCCGAACUGUGAGGUAUCCACAACCACUGAGAUUCUCACAGGAGUGAGCCAGAAGAGCUUCUCCUCCCCUCACCUCUGCCGGCUGCAUCUAACAUACAGAUCCCACUGCUGCGGGAAAGACUACUGCCAGAAGGGCAGGCUGAACUCAAAGCAUACCCUCCAGAUUCCACAGGUGAAUUCCACGAUCCCUUAAAACCCAGCUUUUUCCUGAGAAACCUGGACGUACCUGAUCUUAAGGCUCACAUGUGACCAAGGCUACAAAGCCUGACUACCGGGCCUCAUGUCUGAUCCCCAGGUUCCACUGUGAACAUUACAACAGUUCUGGAAGCUCUGAAAAGCCUGAAACCCAAUCAGCCCAGUGUCCCUGAAGAUCAGGUUAUCAACGCUACAAGCAGAGGCACGUAAGGCUGUAUUUCCAACUGCUUUAGAUCUUUCACUUUGGUCUUCCUAGUGUGCUUCAGAGCAAGAAGCACUCCAAUUCUCUAUCACCUCUGACUUUCAUCAACGGGAAUUUCAGUUGCUGGAAGCUGUAGCUUAUCAUUUUAAGUCCAGCAGUAAAGAAAGAUCUGCUAGGACUAGGUCAUAACGGAGUGGUGGAGGGCUUACACAGCAUGAGUGAGGCCCUAGGUCCAAUCCCUAGCACAAGAAAAGACACAAAAAAC